UACAGAGGGUGCAAGCGUUGUUCGGAAUUAUUGGGCGUAAAGGGCGCGUAGGCGGUGCGGUAAGUCUGUAGUGAAAUCUCUGGGCUCAACUCAGAGUCUGCUGCAGAAACUGCCGUGCUUGAGUGUGGGAGAGGUGAGUGGAAUUCCCGGUGUAGCGGUGAAAUGCGUAGAUAUCGGGAGGAGCACCUGUGGCGAAAGCGGCUCACUGGACCACAACUGACGCUGAGGCGCGAAAGCUAGGGGAGCAAACAGG
rnacentral:rRNA from 1 species